UUGAUGUGAACCGAGAAUUUGCCAUCGAGGCUAGAGUCACGCUUGGGUAUCAGCUAUUGCCUUAGUGUGCUAGAGUCCUCGAAGAGUAAUUGCUGACCUUAUUCACUGGCU
rnacentral:miRNA from 1 species